CACCCCCUCCCUUAUCGAACCUUCAGAACUCUGAGACAGACAAUAUUCAGUUACAUUGUAGCAAGAUGGCGACUGUCAUUCACAACCCCCUGAAACCGCUUGGGGACCAGUUCUACAAAGAAGCAAUUGAGCAUUGCCGCAGCUACAACGCCAGGUUAUGUGCAGAACGAAGUGUUCGCCUUCCUUUCCUGGACUCUCAGACUGGUGUGGCCCAGAAUAAUUGUUACAUAUGGAUGGAGAAGAGGCAUAGAGGGCCAGGAAUGGCUCCAGGGCAGCUUUAUACGUAUCCAGCUCGGUGUUGGAGGAAGAAGAGGCGUUUACAUCCUCCUGAGGAUCCCCGGUUGAGACUUCUAGAAAUUAAAUCAGAUGGUGAUUUUUCUCUGAGAAAGGAUAAUAUGUCUGAGGGAACCACGCUGGAGGCCCUACUUCGAGGGGAAGGUAUUGAGAAGAAAGAAGUCAGAGAUGAGGAUAGUCUGCAGGAAAUCCAGAGAGUUUUGGAAAAUGAUGAAAAUGCAGACGACGCAAACGGAGAAGAUGAUAUAGAAGAAGAAGUUCCAAAGAGAAAAUACAGAAGCAGAGGACGGGCUCGUGGUGGAAGGAGGAGGAAUGAUACGUCACUUGAUGAGCAUGACAGACCUUAUGUGUGUGAUAUUUGUGGAAAACGUUACAAAAACCGACCUGGUCUCAGCUACCACUAUGCUCAUACCCACCUUGCUGAUGAAGAAGGCUCAGAGAGCAGAGACCAAGAUACACGCUCACCAUGUUCUCCUUCCGUUCUUAGGAAUGAAAAUCAGAAGCCUCAGAAAGGAUCAGAUGGUGCUGUACUUUCCAAUAACUACUGUGACUUCUGCCUUGGAGAUUCCAGCAUGAACAAAAAGAGCGGUAAUCCAGAGGAGCUGGUAUCCUGCGCUGAUUGUGGACGCUCUGCUCAUUUGGGAAGAGAAGGCAGGAAGGAAGAAAUGCACAACGCAGAGGAUUUGUUCGGUUCCACGUCAGAAAGCGACACAUCCACGUUUCAUGGUUUUGAAGAGGAUGAUUGGGAAGAGUCUUCCUCAGUUCAAGCCACUCGUUCCCUUACUGAUGAUGACCGGGGAGGCUGCUAAAGAAAAUCUUAUGGAUCACUAUCAUCUCAUUUUAAUUCUAAAUCCUAUGUUCAUUUUAUUUUAUUUUUUAUUUAUUUUAAAAAAAUAUUUAAUUUUUUUUCCAUUUUAUAUUUCUCCUGCAUUUUUAAAGCACAAGUGUAUCCAAACUGGACAAGUCCAAGUCUUUAAAAAAAAAAUGGAAACGUUGUGAGCUUUUUAAAUGAGAAAAAGAAACUGUGGAUUUAAACUUUUUUUUUUGCAAUGAGUAAACCUUUUGUCUUCAGUAUUAAUCAGCUGGUCUAGGGCUGGUUUUAAGGCCACUUUUGAUUUAUAUUAAAAUAACUGUAACCAUGAUAUUUAAUUGUGAUUGCAAAAUAUAAAGCAGAACAACACUGGAAAUGUAAUAUUCUGGAUAUAAGUCAGAUUACCUCAAUGAGAGAAGAUUUUUUUUUAUUUGUAAUUAAUGGCUUUUGCUUUAAAUAAGAUGUUGGAAUCAGCUUAGCAUUUCCACCCCUUCCAAUUCUGACUACUGAGAAAGUACAAGGAACCAGUUCCUUCUUUUAAAACCCUAUUUGAUUUUCUGCAUAUGGGCAGAAGAUUUCAGACUAUUGAUCAAGUCAGAGGGAAAAGGAAAAAAAUGGGAUAAAAUACCUCAAUCCGUCUUUUUCCUUCACAUUUGUUUAUAAAUGUUAUUUAUUUUUAUUUAUUUUUUAUUAUUUUUUUAUCAUUUUUUUUUUGUGGCUCAAAGACUUUAGUGACUGUUUAUAAGAUACAUUUUUGUCUCCUUAUCUAAUACCACCAACUAGAAGAUACCAAAGCAGUACCCAUUAACGGUGCACAGGGUAAUGGAAAUGUGACCAAGCUAUCUCCUGUCUUGCUGAACUGAAAUCAAACUGACCCAAAGCAGGAUUGCAAAGAGCACCAUACCCUACGAUGAUCAGUAGCCUCCAUCAAGAAAGCAAUUUACAUUGGUGUUCACAACAAUAAGAAAUUAGUCUGCGCACCGACAUCCCUGCACUCAGAGCCUGAAUCCUUGCUUGUGCAAUAUGAAAAAGUGGCUUUGCUGAAGAUUUUUGCUUUUUUUCCCUUCUCUCUAGAUGCUGUGUUUGACACUCAGCACUAACAAAUGUUAGAAUAGAAAAGGACUAAAACAAAAGACCUCUUAUUUAUUUUAAUAUUUAAAUGAAGAAUAGAGAAACUAGUGCUGACGUGCAGUAUUUUUGUUUAACGCAUUUCUAGACAAGAUAAAAGUUAAGUUAGUAAAAAGCACUUAUUUGGAAUAUGGACUGUUGUUAUUUUUGAGAUGAAAAAUAAAAUAUUUUCUCCCCUUUGUAGAUGUUAAGCAACAGGUACUAUACCUUGGAUCUUUUAGCAUGUUUAGUAUUGUGUUUUGGCUGAAUGGUUUUAGGAGACCAGGGGGCAAUUUAAGCAACAAUAACAAAAGAAGAUUUGUUAAUGAUGUACAGCAUGCAAAAAAAUUGCUGAAAUGCAAACCAGUUAUUUCCAUAUAAUAUUGGGUUUAGAUUGUUCUAUACCACAUGCUGCUACGUUCUCCUGCUACGUUCUCUGCACUCCUUUUUUAGUUAGAACUCUGGGAAUUAAGUAUUUGAUCUUGUUUAGGUUUUAUAAUAGCUAUGAGUGGUGCAAAAAAUCUUGACAUUCAAAUAUCUCAUGUUUAGUUGAUGUGUUCAGAGUGUGUUAUUUUGUAUUAUUUUUAGUUUUUUUUUUAUUAUUUAUUAGUAAGAAUUGUUUUGGUUCAUUCUCCCAGUUUCCUCAUGUGGCAGGCCAGAAAACACUAUGACAACGUUCAGUAAAACAAAAAAAAUUCUGUUUGAUUUAUUUUCCUUUUUAAAUCCUGUAUCAAUAAAAGUUCACAUUGUCAGGGUUUUAAUGGCUUUAGCAGGCAUUGCAAUUGUUAUUAGUAGCUUCAUAUAAAACAUUGUUUGUUUUUAUGUGGUUUCUUAACCAACCAGGUGGUUCUUGUGUGUACUAAAUGGAAAAAAAAAGUGAACUUUAUAUAGGGUGAAAUUAUUUUGAAAUACAAAGUUCUCACCUUUGUUCAGGUGAUCAAAAUAAAAGCGGGAAAUGUUUUAUAAGCAGUAUUUUUUUUAUUAUUAUUAUUUUUAAUUUUAAGAACAUUUCAUUCUAUGUAGAAUUUACUCCAUAAAAGUGUUUGCUGUCCAUGUUUCAACAGAAAAUAUGAGGUGAUCAAAUAUUUAAAAUUUGAUUAAACAAAAUGAUGUAAGGCAACACAGACCAGUGACUGUACAAUAUAAUGUGAUUAAUAAAACUUACCAUUGGUUCUA